rnacentral:misc_RNA from 1 species
GCUUUCCAAAAUAGAAGGCUUGCCAUACCACAGAAUACCUCCCAUGCGUUGGCUUCUCUUGUGGAAUCCUGCUGGGCUGAUGAUCCAGCUCAGCGCCCAUCUUUUGGCAAUAUAGUUGAGUCAUUGAAGAAGUUGCUGAAGUCUCCACUCCAGUUGAUACAGAUGGGCGGGACAAUAAAGAGUAGCUCCACCAAAGCCAGCUAAUAACUCGUGUGGAAUAUAUUUCGAGCACUCUGAACAGAUUUCGGAGCUUUGGUUGACAACUAAGUAAUGGUAAACCUCAGUAAUGUGUACUACUAAGUACUAACAGAGCCUCUUUGGUUCCAGGCAACUGUAGAUUUGUUACUCAUCUAACCGAUUUGAAAGUCAACUAAAGUCAUGAAAGUGGAAAUCUGCAUUUCAGAAAGCAGAGUUUUUCCUUCUGUAUUUGAAUAGGUAUGAGUAGCCUCUCUCAUAAGUUAUUUAUCAUUGCCAUUUCAGAACGUCAUAGAAUUAGGUAUAAGUCUGUAUUAUGCAUGCAACUGAAACUGCAAUUCUGUGCUGUAAUGAAGGAACUUCCUCA